rnacentral:rRNA from 1 species
UACGGAGGAUGCAAGCGUUAUCCGGAAUUAUUGGGCUUAAAGCGUCCGCAGGUGGCAAUUCAAGUCUGCUGUCAAAGGUUCUGGCUCAACCAGAGACAGGCAGUGGAAACUGAAUAGCUAGAGUGUGGUAGGGGCAGAGGGAAUGCCACGUGUAGCGGUGAAAUGCGUAGAGAUUUGGAAGAACGCCGGUGGCGAAAGCGCUCGGCUAGGCCGUAACUGACACUCAUGGACGAAAGCUAGGGGAGCGAAUGGG